rnacentral:lncRNA from 1 species
UUUUAUCCCCUAUCUUACCAGUGACAACUUAUUGUCUACACAGCAGAUAGAAGGAAUUUGUUUUCAGAAUUGCCAUCUGACCUAUUUAGAUGCUCAGAUAUUCCCUGAGGCUCCUUGGCAUGGCCACAAAGGCCCUACACAUUCUGGCUGCAUCCUCCUUUCCAGCAUCCUCUCUCAUGUCUCCUCUCCUCAAUUCCACCCUCAGGAGGUAUUAGAAUUCCUCACUUCUUUGACUACCAGGCACCGUCUUACUCCCAAGACCAGUGAAUCCGAAGGUGGCCCCGCCAGCUGAGGGACUAGAUUCCAGACUGAAUAGAACAGCUUUUCCUGUGUCUCCACAUGAAGUGCAUUUGUUUUUCCUCUUACAGGUUUCCUUAACGACAACAAAAAAGGGAGUAAUCCUACCUACUGUAAGAGUCAUGACUCUUGAUUGCAGCUGACAGAAGCUCAUGACAGCCUGGUUUAGAUAAAAGGGGAAAGGACGACUGGAAGAAUCUUGGAGUUGGGAAUAUGGCACAUAAUUGAAGGAAGAGCAAUAAAACUAUACUUCUCAGAUGACCAAGAUGGUGCUGCCGAUGGUGUUGAGGACGGAGAACCCACCAAGCCC